rnacentral:lncRNA from 1 species
UGCCACAGCGGCAUCUUUAAAACAACUUACUGGAUCAUGUUUAGUGAUUCCGAUAUAGAAGGUGCCAUAUUGGCCAAGAAGCCAUUAGUUGGUUCCACAUCUCCAUUACCACCCUUUUCUUGCUACGUGGAUCAUGGCAUCAUUGAUAGCAUUAGAGACACAAUCCCACAAAAUGUUUCAAAGGGUUCAUUGCCACCAGCAUUAAUAUAUACUGUAGGAGCCAGCAUCAGUUUUGGGGCUUCUUGGGCAAUAAAUAAAAAAGAAGUCAAGGGUUAAAGGCCUUUCAUAUAUCUGGUACCUCCCAAGCAGGGACACAGGUGGCGCUGCGGUCUCAACCACUGAGCCUCUUGGACUUGCUGAUCCGAAGGUUGGUGGUUCAGAUCCCCGUGAAGGAGUGAGCUCCCAUUGCUCUGUUCCAGCUCCUGCCAACCUAGCAGUUCAAAAGCACGCUAGUGCAAGUAGAUAAAUAGGUACUGCUGUGGCAGGAAGGUAAACAACGUUUCCUUGCACUCUUGUUUCCGUCACGGUGUUCCGUUGCGCUAGAAGCAAUUUAUUCAUGCUGGCCACAUGACGAAAAGCUGUCUGUGGACAAAUGCUGGCUCCCUUGGCCUGAAAGCGAGAUGAGCGCUGCAACCUCACAGUCGCCUUUGACUGGACUUAACCGUCCAGGGGUCAUUUACCUUUAUCUUUUUUAGCUCCCAAACAGUCAUCUCCAGGAGUAUGCAGGGCUGCCAGUGGGAUUGUAGAUUGGAUAGAAUCCUACAGAUAUACCUGUUUUUGAACUAGCCAUUUCUCAUUGUGGUUGGUCUAAAAUCCUAAAUGUUGCUCAAGUGGUAUGGCCAGAGCAGAGCCUCACUGAGAGUUCAGUACCCUCCAGCUAUCCAAUUAGAUUGAUUUUCUUCUUUGCCUAGCCACAGUUCUGUCUUAAUCAUACCUUCUACUGGCAAUCUGAAAUAUUUAACUUAUCUGCAAUAGUGAUACUGGGAAUUCCCAGUGCUUUUAGUACUCGGUUUGAUUGAUUUACAUCCUGCUCUUUCCUAUUGGCUCCGAGCAGCUUACAGCAGUUUUUCUAAAUGUUAUUAGUUUUGUCCCCAAGGGGCUCUCAAUCUAAGGAAAUCAAAUGGUUUGGAGGAUAAAAGGAGCCAACUGGGGGGGGGGGGGAUGCCACUGUAAAUAUAAAAAACUGGGUGUAUGCUUUUAAACUUCAAAUAAGCACAUCAAAAAGCCAUUCAAAGAACAAUGCUUUUUCAGGCAGUCAUCUGCUAAAUGUCUGUUCAUUAAAGAGGUGAAAGAAUAAAAAGACUGUAGCUCAGUGGUAGAUCAUCUACUUUUGCUGAAAGUCUAGGUUCAGAAAUAAGCUAGAGGGACCAAUGGCCUGAGUCAGUAUAAGGAGGCUUCCUACGAGGCAGUGCUGUAGAGAGGGGAUCCCAGCUGUUGUGGUGAUGGUAUUUCUGCCCAGGAUGGUAGAUAUUCCCUCCCAGAUCCUGGAAUACUCAUCUUCAGCAGCUGCGCAGUCUGGCAGUCUUGACUAUUGGAAAAGUGUGACAGGUUGGGAUGGAGUAGACAGGCAGCUGAACUCAGUUCCCCCUACAGAGUCACCAUAAGUAUUCUGGACCCCCCAAAAGUGGCAAAGCACCACUUUUUUCUCUCUGAGUGAUUCCAUAACUUAUCAAAAAGUGAUAGGGUAUGCCCUCUGCUGGUUGUUAGCCAGACUUUACUACUUCAGCUGUGCCAUCUGCAGUUCAGUAGCCACAGAAUUCUUAAUUUUGCCUGCAGUUACUUGGAAGUAACUGUGCUUCCUUAAAAGAGUGCACAGAAUUGUAACCCUAACUGUGGGUUGUCUUAUAUGGACCUUUGUCUAGGCACCUGUGUAUAAGAUGUUUUUGAAACAGCUUAAUAUUUGCAACGUGUUCAUCAAUAAAACUUCAUAAUAGUUUGGCUUUGCUCCAAAAUGUUAAUGGAGCAAGUUAACAAUAUGACAUAUGCACAGAAGUGUAAAAAAAUUGAGAUCAACACAGAAGCUACGCACUAAUGUCAACAGAUAGUUCCUUCUCAAAGUGCUAUUUAAGGCACUUUGAACAUAACCCACAGGACUAAGGCUAAAAUCUUAACCCCCUGCUCUAUAAGGCAUGGACGUAACACUAGGCACUGUUGGCCUCUGUAGAAUCCUAAGUUGAUCCAUUUUCCAGCGGGGGGGUUGGGAGGGAGCUGAUGAACUGUACCAUUGAGUUAGGAUAGCAAAAAAUUACACACAGGCUGCGCCCCCACCCUUCUGCCUUGGCUGACAUAAGUAAACAGGGUUUCAGGUGCUGAAGUUGAUCGACUGCACUGUUGCUUCCAGCCAGGGUUUAGGAUUGCUCUUCCCGCUGUGGUUAUUCCAGCAGUAGCCCUAAGACUUAUACACCAAGGAGCUGUCGUACAUGCCAUGGCAACGUAGUUGGUUAAAAGCAAUGAAUGCAAAAGGAGUUUGUCAACAGGAAGUGACAACAAGGGGAUCCACGUUGAACAUAACAAGGCUGCCGUUAUGACAUUAAUCAAAGCUCAGUUGUUGAGCUUCAGUAUCUCCUCCCUCGCCCCAUUUCUCUCCAGUCGUAAUAAUGUACUGUUUCUUUCUUCUCAAAUACUUGGGUGCAGUUUAGUUACAAAGACCAUAUGACAGAUGACCUUUAUCCGAGAGUCGGGACAUUUUCAUUUUCAAAAUUAUUUGGUCCUUUAAAGGAAAUGUUAGCGUGCAGUUUAAAAAAUAAUAAUCCUGUUUUGUUUAAAAGCCCGGAUAGUUUAUAGACUAACAGUUUAGUUUAUUUGUGAGCUAUUUCGUUGCGAAUAAAUGUGGUUCUGUAUUUUUAGCACACUGUCUGCAAAGUCAUUUGGUGUCAUCUAAAAGCCUUAUUAGCUUUAAAGUUCCGAAUGAAUGUGUUAAUAAACAAAGGGAGGGGAGGGGAGAACAUCUGAAAUCAUGACUAUGGCAUUUCAUGUGGACAGUUCCAUAUUCUCUUAAAACUGAAUCACUACUUCCAGACAUUAAAAGGGAGAUUAUGCUGGAAGUUGUCACGAACUGAAGACUAACCAUCUGACUAUUAAUAAAUUAACAGUGUUUUCCGCCGCUCUUGCAUCAGAUUUCAAGUCCAUACAAAUGCUUCUUUGUAAAAGGAAUUCAUUUACAUUAGCAUACCAUUUUGGACACGCUACAUUCUUUGCUGUAGCCCUUUUAUGGAGGGAUGCAGUGUAAUUCCAGUAGUGUAGGCAUGAAGGAUUUAGGAAUGAAAUGAUCAGUACAAAAAUAAAUGACUGUUGAGCUGACAUUUCAGUGGACUGGAAGAUAGGAGAAUGGUUCUUUCCCCCCCACAUAUUUCUAUUUAAAGCAGAAGAUAAGUGCAUUAAAUGUUAUCUGUUGGAACAGAUUAGAUUGGUUUGGGCCAAGCUUCAUAGAACUUGCUAAAACUGGCCACCAAUGGCCUAUUACUUAUGACUGCUACGUACUCAGUACUCUUUGCUUUUAAAUGAGCACAUGAGUAGGAAAAUCACAUUGUGCCAUGCACUAUACUUUCAUGUAUUGUCCAAAGUCACUGCCCUUUCAUAUCAUAGGUACAACAUCUAUGUUGCUUUUUGUGCUUGUGAACGCAAAUCCUUUGACACUGUUUGGGCAAGAUGGUGUGCAUAUUGCAGCUGCUAGUGGAACAAUUCUGCUAAUGUUUAUAGAGAGGAUAGGGAGACAAAGCAAGAAAGAUACAGAAGAAAUCUUAAGGCCAGCCAGAACUGUGUGUUGUGGGAGAAGGAAGCUGGAAAUUUGGAAGUGGGGCAGAACCUGUGACCCUCCAGAUGUUGCUCAUGCUGACUGGGGCUAAUGGGAGAACCACAGGUUAACUACCUUUAUUCCAGAGCUCAGCCAAGGAAUAAGUGGGACAAACACUGUAAGCUGUAACAGGGAUCUAAGGAAUGGAGAGGUUAAGUCAAAGAAAGAAGAAGCCAAGGGGAAAGUUGAUCUGAGGCAUGGGAUCUUGGAGGCAGAGGGUCUACACCCCAGUAGUAGGAAGGCAGAAGAGAAUCAGAGGGCCGGAACAAGGGUUGUUAGAUAAUUACAGUAUUUGAUUAAAUUUUCCCUGAUGUUUAAACUUAACAAUUCAAGGAAAACAGAGCAGCUAUAGAACUGCUGUUUUUGGCUCAUUUGAAUGUAUUCAUUAUAUUUUGUAGUACCCAACCUGAUAAUGUAUUUGAUGGGUGUGUAAUAAAUAUACAGUCUAGACUAGCCUUACCCAACUUUAUACAGUCCAGAAGUUUUGACCUAUGACUCUCAUCCUUGGCUGGGACUGUUGGGAGUUCUGGUCCAAAAUAUCUGGGUCACCUGAUGUCAUCACAACAUCAAGCGAUUGACUGGUGGGCAGGGCUUCCCACCUGUCAUACUUUCUCCACUGGUGUGCAUAGAGAUAAGGAUCCAACCGACUUCCGGGGUGGCGCCAUCAACAAUGGCGGAUUCCCUCUGAACUGGAGGGACCAGCUCCACGGGAAUCGGGUGUUUUCCGCUACGGCGAAGCGGGGACCCAUUCAAAAAUCACAGGCGGAUGAAGCCUGUGACCAUGGGACUCGGCGGGCACCUUUAGCGCCCCCCCAACCCGCAAAGGAACCCACUAACGGGCUCCGGAGUGAAGAGGGGGAGUGGCGCGGUGCUGAGAGUCAACUGCUUCUUCCGUGGAGCGAAGCCGCACAGCCGUUGCCGGAGAGCGCUGCCUUUUUCCUGGGACAAUUUGGCUUUUAAAACAACCACCCGUGAGUACUUAAGUUUCGGACAAUUGGACUCUAAACAAGGAUUUGCGAGCAGAAAGGAAAACUGGACUUAAAAGUUUAAUUUAAUUUGGCACUGAAACGGGAAGGUCUAAACAGGAAGUCAGCCUUCCGUUUCUUUGUAGAUAGAUUAAAGCAAAGACACAGCAAACUAAAGUUCUGAAAAUCGCUUCUAAAGGAUUAACUUUCAUCAUUUAAAAUUGUGGAACCCCCUUCGGAAGCAGGAGAAGAGGGGGGAUUUUUUCUGGACUGUUUAAACCUGCAGAAGUGAGUGUAAAGUAAAGUAACUUUCCACCGUCUUGAUCCUGGAGCGGGGUGUCAGGACUGACGUUCUUUGAAGAGACAAACGUUUUUGACAGAUAGCUAAAGGAAGAGAUACAUAGUGAUUCCAUUGUUCUCCUUCACAUUUUAAAGGAACAAAUAUUGACAAAAUAUCUGAAAAAGGAAACUUUGUUGUUAGAUUUGUUUUUAAAAGAAAAGAACAAGCAGAAGUUUUCCCCUAGAGGGAGCCUGUGAAACUGUAACCAAUUUUGAAUCGGGAAGCUCGCAGCUGUCACAGAUUACGAUCGUGGGAAUAGACUUCUGACCUUGCAGGACAAUGUAUUCAGAAGCUCUGUUGAGUGCUUUCUGUAAAACAAGUGCCCUACUGGAACAGCUACAUGAGAAGACGGAUUUUAUGACUGAUGCGAUUAGAAAUUUUGGACAGGCAGUGGGAUAUUAUACAGAGCCCAACCAGGAAUUAGGCCAGGAGUGUGCCCUGACAGAACAGAUGAGGGAAGAGGAUGUUGCUGAAUUUUGGGUGCCAGAGAUGGAGGGAGCUGCGGCCCAGCAGGAACAUGAAUUCUUGGAUUUGACAAAUGAACUUGGAAAAAGCCAGAUUUGGAAAGAUAAAGUUUGGUUUGGUUUGGAAAUGGGGGGUUGGAUAGACCCCCCUAUGCAGGGAGGUUUGGACUUUUCGAGUCUGGCAAUGGGCCGUGAGAUGUUUGGGGUUGUGGGGGCUCUCAAUUUUGGAGGGUCUUUGAAACAUGUUCUUAAAUACCACAUGGAGCUUAGUGGGGACUAUGGAAAAGGGGCUGAUUUGUCGAGAAGGGUCAAAAGCAUUGUCAAGCUGGAGUUCCCAAGAGUGAAAGAAGUAGGAGAUAAAGGAAAAUAUAGCUAUAAAUAUGAAGAAGAGCUGCGGAAGGGACAUGGAAGAGACUUAAGGGCCUCGGACAUAAGGUUACCAGGUUAAUGCGCUAGAUUGAUGGGAUAGAAAGGACUGACAAAACCCGGGUCCAGGAGGAAGAGACGCUAGAUGAAGAUUGGAUUGUUAUUUCUUUUAUUAUGAUUGUUUUAUAAAAUUGAUGAAUGUUAGAAAAAUGUUGGAACGAAAUUAUUUGGCUUUAGCAAAAAUGUUUAAAGAAUUAUGUAAGAAUAUUAUGGUUAUGAGAAAUUGGUAAAAAUAAGAUUUAAGUUUUAAGUUUUAAGGUUUUCAUAGUAAGAUAAGAUUAAAAUAGAUUAAGGUAAAGUAAUGACAGAAUAUUAUGAAAUAUGGAAAGGAUUUGCUGUGACAAUUAAUAAUCAGGAUACAAAAAAAGGGAGGAGGAGGAGGUCAAAGAAAGAAGGUAAUGACAGUUAAAGAUAUGAGAAUAUUGGAUUUGUUUUUAAAUAUUUGUGGUAUAUUUUUGUUUUUUAAUUGUGUCGUGUUAUUUUUUGAUUUUGAUUUUUAUUAAUCUGUAUUGUUUGACUGUGGUUUGUCUUUUCUUUGUUUUUUCUUUCUUUUUUUCUUUUUUGUUCUCUUUUGUAAUUUUAAAAUUUUCAAUAAAUAUCAUUUUAAAAAAAAAAAGAGAUAAGGAUCCAACCUACCGGCCAGUUUCCAUUCCCCAUCCCUGCUUUAACAGGUGCAUUUAAGCAGAAUUCUGUUCACUGUACUUUCUAGCGGCCAACAGGGCCAUUAAGUAAGAAGUAAAAGCUGAAUUUCACAUACAGUACUUGUCCCAACUAGAAAAUUAACUGGCAGUAAACUUUCUAGUUCUGCUAUAGAUGAGGCAGAUUCUACUUUGUUUUACAGUGCAGCCGCCUCAUUGGCACAACAGCAACUGGAGCUGUUACAACACAUGUAGGCAGCAGCUUCCUAUGAUCCUGGCCAUACACUGCAAAGCACAAUUGGGAACAGAGCAAAUGCAGCGACUUGCUCUCUGAAAUAUCCUCAUAGCCUUUGUAGAAAGUUUUGCCAAUCCAAGCACAUUGUGCAUAGCCCAUGUCAGCCCCCCAUUAUCCUUGGGGAUUAGUAGGGGGUUGUUGUUGUUGUUUAGUCGUUUAGUCGUGUCCGACUCUUCGUGACCCCAUGGACCAGAUCACGCCAGGCACUCCUGUCUUCCACUGCCUCCCCCAGUUUGGUCAAACUCAUACUGCUAGCUUUGAGAACACUAUCCAACCAUUUCGUCCUCUGUCGUCCCCUUCUCCUUGUGCCCUCAAUCUUUCUCAACAGCAGGGUCUUUUCCAGGGAGUCUUCUCAUGAGGUGGCCAAAGUAUUGGAGCCUCAGCUUCACGAUCUGUCCUUCCAGUGAGCACUCAGGGCUGAUUUCCUUCAGAAUGGGUAGGUUUGAUCUUCUUGCAGUCCAUGGGACUCUCAAGAGUCUCCUCCAGCGCCAUAAUUCAAAAGCAUCAAUUCUUCGGCGAUCAGCCUUCUUUAUGGUCCAGCUCUCACUUCCAGUAGGGGGUUAAUGUGGGUCAAAGAACCACAUAACCGAAGCUCUAAAGUAGCACAACCAACCCCUUAAAUUGGUCAUACCCUCUUUUAGGGCUGCAUCAAAUGCGUCUACUAGAAGAUUAUGGUUUAUUUCAAAAAAAAAUAUUAAUUUUCCAAAUUUAUAACAAACAUAUC